GCCAUUCUACAAUUGUUGUUAUGUGUUCCUGCAUAUUUGUUGCUGGCCAAUUAAUUGGCAUGAAUUCUAUAACCUGCAAAUAAGACUGAACAACGGUGAUUAACCUUUACAACCAAGUAAAAUAUCCAAAAUGUUCCUAACCAUUAAACACAAACUGGUUUCAAGAGCUCUGAUACCAGUCUAGUUAGCAAUAACGUUAUUAUUAUAUGGUAAACUCAAGUCUAAUGCAUUAAACGUUUCAUGAAUCAUAACUCCUCUUUCUCACUUACAAAACAAAAGCCCGAUCUCUUAACCUCGAGAUCAUGUGGGGGUCCAUUUGUCUACUGAUUUCAACUAAACUACAUCAAGUAUUUCCAACUGUUUAAACAUCCAUCCCAUCUCAUUGCAGGAAAGUACAACUAAAAUUUCCCCAUAAAAUCAUGGAAAGAUUAGUCUCCAUGCUCGUAUUAUUAACUUGCCAAACCGAGAAGAAUUCACUUGAAAGGCUUCUUAGAAGCCUCCUUUUUAUCCUAUUUUGAUCCCGACAUAGUUGCACCUGCCACAGCUGUCAUGGCUGCAGCUGCUACACCAAUUUUUGCACCACCUGCAGCUUUCAUUGCACCAGCAAUUUUCGCAAAUGCAGCUACACCUCCUACUAAUAUAGCCCUAAAGGCGACUGUUGGUUUUACUGCCAUAUUUUAUUGUACCUGCAAUUGCCAGUAAUACAUCAAGACUGAAAAUUUGUAUCUAACAAACAUUAGUAAAACUAAGGUCAUAAUAAAUGGUUCUGAAAUACCGAGAUAGAAGCUAAAAUUAGCUUUGAACGGUAAAUUAAAAAGGGAUUAGAAUAAAAGUUAAAUUUGUAUACUUGUUUUGGCAAGCACAAGUCAACACAACAACGCAACUUCCCAAGCAACAAGCUGCCUCAUCAAAUUCCAAAUAGAGAGCAUACACAAAAUCUGCCCAUUGUGAUCAAUAUCUAAAAAAACAAAUUUACACCUUUCGCAUGGUUUUGCUUGUAUAUUGUAGAGGUAUUGCAUGCAUUGGGCAUUUCCAUCCGUUUCUAUAGAGCAAAGGGGCAGCUAGCGGAGCUUUCUCUCCUAGUUAAAAGGAUAAAGGACUUUUUCUAUAGAGCAAGAGGUGAGUUAGGGGGGUUUGCUGGCUNNNNNNNNNNNNNNNNNNNNNNNNNNNNNNNNNNNNNNNNNNNNNNNNNNNNNNNNNNNNNNNNNNNNNNNNNNNNNNNNNNNNNNNNNNNNNNNNNNNNAACCCAGUGAUUUCAAAUACACGCCCUAAAGGUAGUGGAUGCGGGUCCACCAUGAUUUUAAAAAACAUGAUUUUGCUUUUAUUGUUUUGUAUUUGAUUCUGUGAGUAAAUGACAUUUAAAUCCUUGAAAAGCAAAAUGCAAUGACCGAUUCAUCAAAUUCACCUUUAGUUCUUCAACAUGACGGAACAGUUCUAACUGCGAUUUGAACUAGCAACAAAUGAUGAGAUGUCAGUACUUGAAGUGGCCCUUUGCAGGGCAGUAAUACUUGAUUUCAAAUUAUAAAGGUUUUGCAAGUCUAGCAAAAUACGAAAAUUAUGACCUGUGAAAUAUGGCUUCACACAUUUUUUAUUUUUUUAAAAAAAGGUCCACAAACACCAAGCAUCCUGCAAGAGUAGGGAUAAUUUGUAUUAUUAAAGGUACUUUUACUCCUAACUGUCUUCCAUAUCCAACUUUCAGUUCAUAUGACCAAUCAUUACUGGCACCAAUAGCUACAGACAGCUUUUCUCUUAGGCCUUAGAAGAGAAUAAAAUUCAGUAAUCAUCAUAUUAAUGUUUAAUCUCCUUCAGCAAUAUGCUUCAUGUUGUUUCCUUGCACCAGCAAAUAAACCAACUAGAAACAACAGUCCCAUAGCCCACACUUGCAUGACAGAAUAGCUCUAGAAUUUAUUUUGUUUAAAGUUGGAAUAUCAAAUUUUCUAACGCUAAGUGAUGAGAUCAAAGGUUCCUCUCAGAAGACCGGUCCUGAUCAUUUAAAACUGUCAACUAUUUUGCCCUUCCACCCAGUUCUACUUAUCUUAAAAUAUGCAUUCUGCUGAAAAUGGGUGUGCCUACCUCAUAAAUAGUUAACUAGUAUCUUUACAUUUAUCAACAGGCCACUUCCCUAGCAGAUACACAUAUAGUGCAAAUCCAAUGUCGACUACCCAGCAUAUUUUCAAGCAUCAGAUUUCAUGUUGGAAUUUACUCUAAAAAGUAAUUAACUUAAUCCUGAAAUUUUCUCAAACAGUUGAAUACAGGCAUUUCAAUUCACUUAUAAUUUAUAUAAAUAUUAUUUCACACCAUUAUAGAAAAGAAAAGCUUACCUUAAUUUCUUUUUCUUUUUUUCUUUUUUUUUGAAAACCUUAAAGGGGAUAUAUAUACCAUUAACCAAGAUUCACUUUUUCUAACCAGGCUGAAUCUUGAUUUUUAUUGAAUUUAAUCAACAAAUUACUUACUACUAUAAACAGAUAAACAAAACAGAAAUUUCGAGAGGGGUUAAUAAUAAAUCAAAACAGCAUCGUUUAUGUAGUAAUGAAAGUUAACUAAAACAUAAAGAACAACAGAUUUUCUAUGAAAAUGAAAAUCAUAAAAUUGAAUCUAAAGAACUUACAGAAAAUAUGAGCGCGACCUUCAAACGUGCGAAUUUUUCUGUUUAUAUAUAUAUAUAUAUAUAUAGAGAGAGAGAGAGAGAGAGAGAGAGAGAGAGAGAGAGAGAAACCUAUUUCCUUCUUUCCCGGUACAAUACUGGAGGUCUGGGAACGUCCCUCCAGUGGACGAAAAGUAUAAAUAUGUAUUUGGGAUCAACGGCGUCGUUUGCUUCAAACGAUUAACGCCCCCUACAAAACGGCGUGAAAGGCUAUUUUGAAGAAGAGAAUCGAAAUUACAUUUUUGCCCUUCGAUUGUAACAACUUUUACCAUUGUUACUUAAAAAACAUACUAUUACUUUUACCUUUGGAGAUUUAUUGUUCUCUUUACAAGUUAUGUUACCGCUCCAGUGUACAUUAGUUGUGUUAACAUGUAUGUUUGUAAUCGAGUGAGAGAGAACAGAAAUUGAGGGAUGUAAGUUUGAUCAUUUUAUUCUUUCUUAAUUGCAAUCAGGAUUGCCAAGGCAAGGCUAGGCUUCCACAUGAUCCAUAGAGAAAUUAGCAGGGAUCCUCCUAUCCUAUCCAUUCCUGCUCCCAGCACCUAGGCCAUUUUGACAAAGCCUAUGCCCACAUACCCAUUUCCUCGGAAUAAUUUUUACCACCAUUGCCAUAGGUUAGUCCGUGAGGACACCAACACUGGAAUCUGGCUAGUGGGCCCUCCCGUGGACCAUUCCAUUCUGGCUUAAUUGAAUUCAGACAGGAAAGUCAAACAUCGACUCAAAAUCGUAGUGGGCUGGAUGGAUGGAUGGAUCAUUAGCCGGCUUACUCUGCACCACAAGAUAACUUACCUUCUGGCACCAUCAUUGACACAGAAAAUUGAAAAGUUAUGACAAUCCUCCGAAUUAUGACCGACCCCUUGUUGGCAUGUUCUGCUCUCACUUUAAAGCACAAAGCU
rnacentral:lncRNA from 1 species